rnacentral:rRNA from 1 species
UACGUAGGGGGCUAGCGUUGUCCGGAUUUAUUGGGCGUAAAGAGCGUGUAGGCGGCCAGGUAGGUCUGCUGUGAAAACUCGAGGCUCAACCUCCAGACGUCGACGGAAACCGUGUGGCUAGAGUCCGGAAGAGGAGAGUGGAAUUCCUGGUGUAGCGGUGAAAUGCGCAGAUAUCAGGAGGAACACCGGUGGCGAAGGCGGUUCUCUGGGAAUAUCCUGACGCUGAGGAGCGAAAGUGUGGGGAGCGAACAGG